AUUGAACGCUGGCGGCAGGCCUAACACAUGCAAGUCGAGCGGAUGAAGGGAGCUUGCUCCUGGAUUCAGCGGCGGACGGGUGAGUAAUGCCCAGGAAUCUGCCUGGUAGUGGGGGAUAACGUCCGGAAACGGGCGCUAAUACCGCAUACGUCCUGAGGGAGAAAGUGGGGGAUCUUCGGACCUCACGCUAUCAGAUGAGCCUAGGUCGGAUUAGCUAGUUGGUGGGGUAAAGGCCUACCAAGGCGACGAUCCGUAACUGGUCUGAGAGGAUGAUCAGUCACACUGGAACUGAGACACGGUCCAGACUCCUACGGGAGGCAGCAGUGGGGAAUAUUGGACAAUGGGCGAAAGCCUGGUCCAGCCAUGCCGCGUGUGUGAAGAAGGUCUUCGGAUUGUAAAGCACUUUAAGUUGGGAGGAAGGGCAGUAAGUUAAUACCUUGCUGUUUUGACGUUACCAACAGAAUAAGCACCGGCUAACUUCGUG
rnacentral:rRNA from 1 species